rnacentral:rRNA from 1 species
AACGAACGCUGGCGGCAUGCCUAACACAUGCAAGUCGAACGAGACCUUCGGGUCUAGUGGCGCACGGGUGCGUAACGCGUGGGAAUCUGCCCUUGGGUUCGGAAUAACAGUUAGAAAUGACUGCUAAUACCGGAUAAUGUCUUCGGACCAAAGAUUUAUCGCCCAGGGAUGAGCCCGCGUAGGAUUAGCUAGUUGGUGAGGUAAAGGCUCACCAAGGCGACGAUCCUUAGCUGGUCUGAGAGGAUGAUCAGCCACACUGGGACUGAGACACGGCCCAGACUCCUACGGGAGGCAGCAGUGGGAAUAUUGGACAAUGGGCGAAAGCCUGAUCCAGCAAUGCCGCGUGAGUGAUGAAGGCCUUAGGGUUGUAAAGGCUCUUUUACCCGGGAUGAUAAUGACAGUACCGGGAGAAUAAGCCCCGGCUAACUCCGUGCCAGCAGCCGCGGU